AUGAUCCCACAGCCAAACAAAUUAAUGGUUAGAUGGUCAGAGUCAGACACACAGACACGGGUUGAGUUGAGAAGAUAUUAUCGUACAUCUGAGGUAGAGAUUGACGGCGUGGUUGAGGAAGCCGCGGCCGGGGACGCCGGUGAGCAGGGAGGUGAUGGGCACGAAGGCCAUGGAGAUGACGUCCGGCGAGGCGGCGACGGUGGCGAGCCACUCGUCGUGGCCCUGCCCGUCGUCGACGCCGCCUCGCCUGACGUGGAUGCCGACGACAUCGUCCUUGUUGUGGAUGACCGGCGACCUGAAGGCGCGCCAGGCAGCGGAGCCGGGGCCGGGAGGUCUCCGCGACGACGACCCGCGGCCCUUGGCGCCGGCGGAGCUCUGCCGUCGGUCCUGCGACUGGGACUGGGAGAAGGUGGCGUCGGCGAGCUUCUUGAGGCGGGCCUGCACGUCGCGCGGCUCGAGGGCGGAGCCCCUGAGCUGCUUGACGCAGACGACGUCCUUGCCCCCCAUCCGGACCCCGACGACGACGUGGGUGCCGUGCGUGUCGAUGAAGGCGGCGAGCGCCGGGGGGUCCCAGGAGGUCGGGACGUCGCGGGCGACGUGGCCGCGGAGGGCGAGGCGCGCGCCGCGGGGGGCCUCGACGGCGUAGAGCUCGACGAGGCGGGCGUCGAAGCAGAGGCUGCGCGUGGCGGCGGCGUCCCGGUGCCAGCAGCCGCGGUAGUCGAACAUGGCGUUGAAGGGGCCCGAGGGGAUCUUGCCCGUGAGCGACAGCGACUGGUUCACGUGCUCCGCCAUCUGCGCGAAGGACAGCACGUCGGAGCGGAACCGCGCGCGCUCGCCCUUGUCGGCGACGACCCCCGCGGGCGCGCCGGCCACCACGGCCCCGCCCGGCAGGCACAGGUCCCGCUCGCCGCCCGCGCCCCCGCCGCCGAGGUCGAGCAGCCGGUCCUUGGCGCGGAAGAGGCGCAGGUCGUCGGCGAGGUCGUAGCCGCAGCCGACCGCGCGCACGGCGGCCUCGGCCGCCUCCUGCGCCGACGGCGGCGUCGCGCGCGCGGCGCCCAGGUCCAUCAUCAUCCCCGCUCCACUCCGCCAGAAGCCAGUUAA
rnacentral:rRNA from 1 species